rnacentral:rRNA from 1 species
GUGGGUAGUUUGACUGGGGCGGUCUCCUCCUAAAGAGUAACGGAGGAGCACGAAGGUUGGCUAAUCCUGGUCGGACAUCAGGAGGUUAGUGCAAUGGCAUAAGCCAGCUUGACUGCGAGCGUGACGGCGCGAGCAGGUGCGAAAGCAGGUCAUAGUGAUCCGGUGGUUCUGAAUGGAAGGGCCAUCGCUCAACGGAUAAAAGGUACUCCGGGGAUAACAGGCUGAUACCGCCCAAGAGUUCAUAUCGACGGCGGUGUUUGGCACCUCGAUGUCGGCUCAUCACAUCCUGGGGCUGAAGUAGGUCCCAAGGGUAUGGCUGUUCGCCAUUUAAAGUGGUACGCGAGCUGGGUUUAGAACGUCGUGAGACAGUUCGGUCCCUAUCUGCCGUGGGCGCUGGAGAACUGAGGGGGGCUGCUCCUAGUACGAGAGGACCGGAGUGGACGCAUCACUGGUGUUCGGGUUGUCAUGCCAAUGGCACUGCCCGGUAGCUAAAUGCGGAAGAGAUAAGUGCUGAAAGCAUCUAAGCACGAAACUUGCCCCGAGAUGAGUUCUCCCUGAGACUUAGAGUCUCCUGAAGGAACGUUGAAGACGACGACGUUGAUAGGCCGGGUGUGUAAGCGCAGCGAUGUGUUGAGCUAACCGGUACUAAUGAACCGUGAGGCUUAACCUU